rnacentral:rRNA from 1 species
CUUGACGACCAUAGAGCAUUGGAACCACCUGAUCCCAUCCCGAACUCAGUAGUGAAACGAUGUAUCGCCGA